UUCAACGAAUAUAGUAUACCCUUUUACUCUACGAGUAACGGGUAUAAAAAUAUAUUAUACAAAAUAUGAUAACUUUUUGUUCGAAUAAACAUUUUUAAUCGUGUUAUAACGUAACGUACAUUUUUUCAGUUACAAUUUGUCAAUAAGUUGACUCUGCGGGGUACAGAAAAAAACUUUUCCAAAACUUUUUGCGUGUCGACCUUAACAUCGCGAUGAAUGUUGAGCGAGGCUAGACCAUUUAGCCGGUCUUCAGACAUUGUCGACCUGAGGUACGUUUUAAGACGACAUAAUGUUGAAAAAGAACGUUCAUUAGUAGCUGUUGUUAUUGGCAAAACUGCCAAAAUGCGAAGCAUUUGAUGGACAUUGGGAAACGCGUCUUUAUUACACAUAUCGAGUGCUUCCAUUGAAUUUCUGACGAUGUGGCCGGCAAUGUAUUUACGCCAAAGUUGAACUUCGUCGAUCCAAAUGUCAGGGGAAUCAUCGUCGUGCAAAAUUGCAGAAUAUGGUUGAAAUAACUGGGUGCAAGAAUCUUUAUCGAAAUUUUUCAGUUUGUUGGGGAAGAGACAAGCAAAAUUUGAUAGAAUAAAACGAUGAUUCAAAAAUCGAUCUUCCAGAUGAGUCAAAAAUAAAUCAAUGUAUGGGAUGUAGACUGUAAUGCGGAAGUAAUCGUCAACUGACUCGGUUUGGGCAUUUGAAAGUUGAGUCUGUUUUGACGCGAGCCUCGGCUUCCGCAAUUCUAUUUCGUAUUUGUUCCCAAUUUCACUCACAGUACUGAAAAUUUCUUUGAAGUUCUCUUCAGCGUUUUCUCUUCUGUCAAUCAAAACCUGCUUUGCAGCAUCAGCCAAUUCAAUAGCUUCGCCAAGAUCUUGGUUUUCAGUUUGUAGUACUCGACUCAGAGACAGAGUCACAGGUUGUACCGAACCCAAAACAUGCAUGGAAAUCUGGAAUUAAAAUUUUGAGAAUAUAAUAUACAAACAUUUGACAAAAUCGUCAAUAUUUGACUGUGCUUUUGACUUUACCUGAAAAUUUGCUGUCUUUAUAGCUGAAAGGAGUUGGAAAGCUCCAGAUGAAGUCGUUGGGUCCUUCCAGGUGGUCGAAAUCACUUCAAGGGCAAGAAUCACUGCUGGUUGUAGAUGCAAGUACUUUGCAAGAGACUCGUGUUGUUCUGACCAUCUGGUUUUGCAGAACUUUUUUAAUUUUCUCAAGCGACUUUCUUUCAGUUUUUCGUUUUAGUUGAUCGCAUCUUGGAGAGCGUUUUGGCGUUUAGGGUACACAAAGAAGGUAUGAACAUUUUCUAGAGUUCCGAGACUGUUUCUGAUGGCUGUGGUAUUGCAUGCAGAGCUGACUGUCAAAUUGAAGGUAUGAGCAGCACAAUGAGAGUAAAGCGCGAGUGGAUGAGUCUUUCUGAUAACAGCUUGUGCUCCAUGAAAUUCCCUGCUAAUCGCUCUCGCCCCAUCAUAACCUUGUCCGAAGAAGUACUUGCAAUUAAGCCCGGAAGAUUCAAAAAAACCGAGAUAAGAAGUUCCUAUUCCUUUUCCAGUAAAAUCUGUGAUAGGAAUAAAGCACAGAAAAUCUUCUCGAACGAUAAACUUGCCGUCGCAUUUAUCCAAAUAUCGAAUGCAUAUUGAACUGUGUUCAACUCCUCCAAUGUCCGGCGUGUCAUCUCCAAGAAAAGAAAAACCCAUCGAAUUGUUUACCCGAUCAACAAUGCAACACAUGAUCAGAUCGUGACAAAUAUUGAAUAAUUCAUUCUGAAUUCGAUUGCUUAUGUACAUAGCGUUUUUUGGUGAAUCCCUCAGAUGCUUCUGUAAGUGCUCAUCAGUUUUUGCGCGGAAUCUCAAGAGAGCCCGGAAAUUUCCAUCAUUUAUUAUCGGUUCUUCUUCACCAAGUCUUCUCGUAUCCUUGGAACGUCGAAGAGCAGUCCCUUGCAGAAUGCGCCGUCUUCUUUUUCCGAGGCCCGAUGCGAAAAAAAUUUUAGCUUUCAGGGGGAGUCCAAAUCUUUUUUUGCAAUUCAGGGAUCAAGUUUAUUCCAUGAGCUGAAAAUUUUUGUACGAAUAAUUCAAUAUCGUAUGAACUCAGAUUCUGAUUUAGAGAACCAACUGUCGAAUAUGAGCUUUUCGAAUUAUCGGGAUCUAUAUCCAUAUCUGUAGAACUCUGAAAAAAAGGUUAUGUUACACUCCACAAUAUUAAUUGUGAAAGUUAUUCGAUGCAAAUUAAAAUUUUUACUGCGUUUCCAGUCAAGCUUUCUGUCCUUUCUGAAACAUUUUUUUCUGCGAUGUUAGGCUGCGCUUGGCAACCGAUAAAAAAAACUAUAAAUAUAUUCACUCAUUCAUUGUACAAUAAACCUGCACAUCCUCGCUGUGUUUUAUAUUCUAUUAAA